CGGCUUCCGGAGCGAGGCCCUCGCGGAAAUGACGUCUCUGAAUCACACUGCUGCUGCCAUGCCUAGGAAACCACCAUCAGAAAGCUGCGUGCACCGCUGACCCUAGAACCACACUAUACCCACUAUGAUCUGCACCAGUGCCAUGCAUAUCCUACGUCCCGUCUGUCAAGGCCCACAGGACAAGUGGCUAGACACUGAGGUUUCUGCUAAUGCUGCUUCAGAAAAAUCAAACACCUCCACAACUGUGCUUGUCAACAGCAAUAGCAGAAGUUUGGUGUGUCUCUGGCAAUAUGAUUAAUGUAAAAAUUUAAUAUGCUUCUC
rnacentral:lncRNA from 10 species